rnacentral:pre_miRNA from 2 species
UUGUGGUGUCAUGGUCAUUGUUGACCGCUCAUACGACCCCUGCUUAUGCGGAAGUCAUAUAACGGUCAAUAGAGACCAUUGACAUCAAAGA